CCGUUAGGAAGGCCCUGGACAUCCCCUUUUAUAGAUACAAGGAGAUGGCCCAGCUGUACAAUGGGGGCGUAGCUAUGUGCUAACGUGCCUGGCGGAGAAGUGCCUUGAGCCCUGUACAUGUGCUAACGUGGCCAUCGGAGAAGCGCUUGUGUAACACCCCCACUGUUCCCACAUAAUGGAUGUUACCAGAUACCCUUCCCACUAAACUUAUGCAACACAAGAAAUGAAAUAAAGAGAGAAAAUAUUGCAAAAUCCGGCAGCACCUCCCUUGAAAGAAGCAUAACAAGGGAGGAACAUAGAGUUCAUACAGGAUAUAAAAGAUAGAUAAUUCACGUAGUAUAAUCAAAAUUCAAAAGUAGUAAAGCACAUUUAUGACCAAUUAAAAAAAAGGGUAACUCAGCCCACCCCAAAAAAAUCAGCUCAACUACCAUGAAAGGCUAGAACAUAAUAAUUCCCUAGACUUGACCCUCCCUCAUUAACAACAUUAUUAAGCAGUGGUUCCUUUAUUAAAGGUGUUGUGGUCGUGCUGCUACAUCCGUUCUUCCCAAAGCAGAAAUCAGGUGCCUGCAUCAGACAAUGCAAGAGUGAGAUGACACAUCUCAGCAAGUAAACAGAGCAAACAACAAUUGGACAAUGUAAACCAACCGUGCUUAAACAACCACGUAGUUCAAAACUUCCUUCUUGAAUAAUAAUUUGCAGCAAGUAAGCAAGUAACUGAUUACUUAAUGCCAAGAUGAAUCACAAUGUAAAGAUCCACACUAUCCACAUCCACAUAACAGAUUCCACACCUCUCCCAUGAAUGCACAUGGCUACAGAUGCAGUAAUGACUUCUGCCUUCAUAUCUCUAAGGAUAUGAAGCUGCAUCAUACCCCUUCUCGGGCAACAUAUGAUGCUCAUUGUACCGGUACGGUCGGACCAUAAGAUCGCGACGAAACUUCAAUGCAAUGGAUGAUGAAUGCAUUAUGCAAGUCAACAACAUGAGUUCUUCCCAAACAAAAUGUGCUAGACAUAUACUUCCACCCAUUCCACAUAAUAAACCACAUGGGUAACAUGAUCAAACCACAAACUCAACAUAUGUAAUCAAUAAAACAUGAAUAUCUUCCAAUGAUGGUACUCAAUUAGAAAUAUGAAUACGAACACAAAUAGCACAAACAUAAUCAAGUAUAAGACUCUUCAUUUGACAGACAGAAUAACCGUCACUGUUUUACUUGCCUUCACCGAAAGUUUGGGCAAAUCACUAAGUACGAUCCGGAAGUCCACCACCUGUUUUUGACACACAACUUAGUGCACCAAUUUCACAUAAUAAGCCUCAUAAACGACGCCGCACCUACGCACAAUCUCAAACCCCGCCACGGGUAACAAUUCUCCCCGCACCCACCAAACUACAGCGGCGCUGCUUAAUAAUUUCAUAACUUUAAAAUUAUGACAGCAGUGGUGACAAUCAAAAACUCCAGAGGCAUCUACAUCAAAUUCCCCACAUGUUUUGUAUACAAUUUACAAUAAAAUUCCAACAUCUAAUUAGCCCAAAACAGUCAUCAAGAUAAACCCUGUAAUCUGUUUUUUUCUCUUUUGGACAGCGACAUACCCGGAUUCAAACAGCGAUAUCUUUUAUGAUAUAAUUCCAAAUCAAGCGCAUAAGUACUCAUUGGAAAGAUAAGACAAAGUCCUACAUGAUUAUCAUACUGGUUAUCACUAAUUACCCACGAAAGAUUCCCAGAAACUGAUAAUACUACUGCUGUUCACCCACCUGAAAAAUCUGUUUUUUUGGACAGCAACAUAUCCAGAUUCAAACAAUGAUAUCUCCUAAAUUAUAACUCCGAAUCGAGCCCAUAAGUACUCGUUGGAAAGGUAUGACAAAUAUCUACAUGAUUAUCCCACUGAUUCCCACUAAUUAACCCACGAAAAUUCCCAAAAAUCCCUAGAACUACUGCUGUCCACCCACUCACAAAUUCCUGGACAGCACCUCUACCGAUUCGCAAAGAUAAACGCAUAAUCCAAUUGAUUGCAGCACAAAAACAACAAAAGUUAAACAUGAAUUCACCUUGGGUUCUUCCCUUCCUCCUUUCUUCUUCCUCCCUCCAAACUCCAAUUGAGAUCGCAGCCACACGACGGAGAACAUGCGGGAGGGCUGCACCUUGGAGGGGGGAAAGACAAAUGGGGGGGCGGCUAGGGUUUUGGGUGGUGAGGGCUGCAAAGGUUUGAGGAGAAAGAAGAUGGAAGAGGGGGGGAGGGGUGAUGUCCAAGAGGAAGGGGAGGGGAAGGGGGCGGCUGCAAAAAUCCCAAGGGGAAAGGGGGCGGCUAGGGUUAGGGGGGACUAAUGGGCCGGAUCAGGGUUCAAGGCCCAACUCGCCUAUGUGACAGCUCCCGACCCCGUCGCAAACAACUAACCAAAGAAAUUCUACUGUCUUACAGAUGAAUAUUUUCCACAAAUUCCAAAUUCCCAAAGCGCAUCACCCGAAUGAGGAAAAAGGACAAAAAGAAUAACCUCCACUUCUCCUCUUUGCAAACCGGGUAUCACACUCUACCUACCUUAAAAAGAAUUCAACCUCGAAUUCGGACGCUUCUAUCGGAACGACAAAAGGGAAAAAAUUAAUGAAUCAACAACACUUACCCACAACAAAAAGUUUCGGAUAUUUCUGCCGCAUCAGCUCCUCAAGUUCCCACGUAGCCUCGCGCUCAGACUGAUUAGUCCAUAAGACCUUGACAUACUUAAUUGAUCUCUUCCUCAAAACACGCUCCGAGGAUUCCAAGAUACACACCGGACGACAAUCCAAGGUCAGAUCCUGCUGCACCGCAAUUGGUUCCAUCUCAAUCUGAUGGUCCGAAUCCUGCAAGAACUUCCUCAGCAUAGAGACAUGAAAAACUAGGUGUACCCUUGCCAUGGAAUCCGGCAAUUGCAAGCGAUAAGCCAAGCUGCCCACCCGGGCCAAGAUAGUGAACGGUCCAAUAUAUCUCGGGCUAAGCUUUCCGGAGACACCGAACCGAACAACUCCUUUAGUGGGUGAUACCCUGAGAAGGACUUGGUCACCCACUGCAAAUUCCAAAUCCCGCCUCCUCACAUCAACAUAACUCUUCUGACGGCUCUGAGUGGCCAAAAUAUUCUGACGAAUUUCCAGAACCUUUUCAGAAGUCUGCUGUACCCAAUCAGGACCAACCAGGGAUCUCUCUCCCAAGGUCUCCCAGCACAGAGGGGAGACACACCGCCUGCCAUACAAAGCCUCAAAUGGUGCCAUCUUGAUGCUAGCCUGGUAGCUGUUGUUAUAAGAAAACUCUGCCAAUGCAAGAUGAUCUUCCCAGCUACCCUUCCAAGACAGAACACAAGCGCGCAACAUAUCUUCCAAGGUUUGGAUCGUUCGCUCUGACUGACCAUCAGUUUGAGGAUGAAAAGCGACACUAAGAGAAAGCUUGGUGCCCAAUGCACUAUGAAGACUCUCCUAGAAUUUGGAUACAAAUUUGGAGUCUCGAUCAGAAACAAUGGACUUAGGUACCCCGUGAAGUCUGAUUACUUCCUUCAUAUACAAGGGGACCAAAUCUGAAGUUGAAUUUGUGGUCUUCAUGGGAAUAAAAUGCGCAGACUUAGUCAAGCGAUCCACUACCACCCAUAUAGCAUCUCUGCCCCGAGGAGAACGAGGUAAACCCACCACAAAAUCCAAGGUGAUAUGCUCCCAUUUCCACUCCGGAAUUUCCAAUGGCUUCAGUAAACCUGCAGGCCGCUUAUGCUCGGCCUUCACGCGCUGACAUACUUCACAGGCGGCCACAUACUUAGAAACGUCAACCUUCAUCCGCUUCCACCAGAAGUUUUGCUUCAGAUCUCGGUACAUCUUGGUUUCGCCAGGGUGAACGGUGUAAGGCGUUUUAUGAGCUUCUCUCAAUAUAUCCAUCUUCACCUCUGAUUUCUGAGGCACACAAAGGCGACCCCUAAAACGAACCAAAUCAUUCUCAUCGAUGGAGAACUCCUGGGGUUUACCAUCGCCAACCCUCUUUUGAGCUUCCUGCAAUAAACGAUCCUGCUGCUGAGCCGCACACACUCUCUCCAUGAGGGAAGAUUGAAUAAGCAUACGAGUCUCCUCACUAGCGGUGCCGACAUAGCACAAGGCGAUCCCCAAACGGUCUAGAUCAGCAAUCAACCGCAAGGCCACUUUUGGAACCCCGGACCUGCUAAGGGCAUCAGCCACCACAUUUGCCUUCCCCAGGUGAUAAUGAAUAGACAAAUCAUAAUCUUUAAUCAAUUCGAGCCACCGACGCUGCCUCAAAUUCAGCUCCUUCUGAGUAAAAAUAUACUUGAGACUUUUAUGAUCGGUGUAAAUGUCACAAGCCUCCCAUAAAGAUAAUGCCUCCACGACUUUAGAGCAAAAACCACCGCAGCCAAUUCAAGAUCAUGAGUUGGGUAAUUCCCCUCAUGCUUCCUCAACUGCCUUGAGCCAUAAGCAAUCACUCUGCCUUCCUGCAUCAACACACAGCCAAGACCAAUACGCGAAGCAUCCGUAUAAACUGUGAAACGCUUACCGCUCUCAGGCAAAGCUAGGAUAGGGGCAUCCACCAACUUGCUCUUUAAUGUCUGAUAACUGACCUCGCAAUCGCUGGACCAGAAGAAGAGAACACCCUUCUCCAAGAGUCUAGUCAAGGGAUUAGCAAUGUUGGAAAAAUUUGGUACGAAACACUGAUAAUAUCCAGCGAGCCCCAAGAAACUUCGAAUUUCAGAGACACUAAAGGGUCUCUUCCACUCCACCACAGCCGCAACAUUCUUGGGAUCAAUCGCAAUGCCCUGCUGAUUAAUCACAUGCCCUAGGAAAGCCACUUCGAACAGCCAAAAUGCACACUUCUUCAACUUGUCAUAGAACUGAUUCUCCCUUAGGGCACCCAGAACGAGACGGAGAUGCUGCUCAUGCUCAGCCUCGGUCUUAGAAUAAAUCAGAAUGUCAUCCAGGAACAUGACCACAAAGUCGUCCAAGAACUCAUGCAACAUCCUAUUCAUUGCUUCCAUAAAAGCAGUAGGGGCAUUAGUUAAGCCAAAAGACAUGACUAUGAACUCAUAAUGCCCAUACCUGGUGCAAAAAGCGGUCUUCUCAAUAUCCUCCUCAUGAAUCCUCAGUUGAUGAUAACCAGAGUUCAAAACAAUUUUGGAGAACACCUGGGCACCCCUCAACUGUUCAAAGAGAACCUCAAUACGGGGGAGUGGAUAUUUAUUCUUGAUAGUCACUUGAUUCAAAGCGCGAUAAUCCACACAUAGUCGCUUGCUUUUAUCCUUCUUCUCACCAAACAAUACUGGGGAAGCCCAUGGAGACCUGCUAGGCCUAAUGAAACCUUUAGCCAGCAAAUCAUCCGAUUGCCGCUUCAAUUCAACCUGCUCCUUUGGGGCCAUUUGAUACGGAGCCUUAUGAAUGGGCUGUGUACCCGGAAUCAGCUUAAUCUCAAAAGUUGCAUCGCGCUCCGGAGGAAUGCCUAGAAGCUCUGCCGGAAACACGUCAGCAAAGUCACACACCACCCGGAUGUCCUGCACCCGCAAGGCAGCCUCACCCUCCACCACCAUGAAGAAAAAGAUUCCUGACUUCCUGGACCGGCGAUCCGGAAGCAAUUGCGCCAACAAGGAUAACGUGAACUUAGGGGAACUUCCCAAGAAUACCACCUCCCUACCUGACGGCGCCUGUAAUAAAACUGUCUUCCAAAAACAGGAUAUAACUGCGCGAUACUGGGAUAACCAAUCCAUACCCAAGAUAACAUCGAAUGCCCCCAAGGAAAUCACAACCAGAUUGGCCGAAAAGACCUCAUCAGCAAGAAUGACGGAACACUCCUGACAAACUGAACAACUACUAAUGGAGCCAUUAGCAGAACUAACCAAAAUUGGGUGACCCAACCUCUGCACCGAAAGACCAGCCCGUGACACAAAAUCCUCCGAAACAAACGAAUAGCUAGCGCCAGAGUCAAAAAGAGCAUGGGCCACAAACGAAUCAACUGAAAUCGUACCUAUCACCACGUCUCCUUGCUCUCUACCAUCCGCAGCGGGUAGCACAUAAGCCCCGGAAAUACCCGCAGAAGAGGAAGCUCCCAGAGUGAAAUUAACAGAAGAACCCCACUGAGCCGCCGGGUGAGGCAGACGCAGAGCUCCAAACUGAGACGACAUAUGAGUAGUCGGUGCAGGAGUAGGCGCAGCCAGAUACUGAGGAAAACCCUGCAUCGGCACGAACUGAGAAGUCCUAGGCACAUAAAACUGCUGUAGAGGAAGUGGAACUGAAAACUGCAGCUCAGCACUUGGCAUCAUGUUGAUAGUGCCCUAAGAAGAGGAGGAAGUCACCGGCUCCCAUCUGAGCUUCCCAUUAGGAUUCCUCCUACACACCACAUCCUUGUGGUCCUAACUACAGAUAGAACACCUGCCACUCCACUGGCACUCUGCACGGCGAUGCGCAUCACCACAACGGAAACACACCAGCCCCAGCCCGGGCUUAGGAACAGCCCGAAACCUCUGAGUACUUCCUCCCGAAGUACCCGAGUCAGAAGAUUUGCCACGGUAAGGAUGGUGGCGCUGAUGCUGAGACUUGCCCCUCUUGUGGGCUGGACCUCCAGUGUUGCCCCUCCUCGCGUCCUGGCCACGAGGCUGAUCAACACCCGAAAACUUCUGCGACUCCAUGGUAUACUGAUGCUGCAUCUCCACACCUAGUGCCUGCUCCACUAUAGUAUGGAAGUCCACCAACGGAAAGGCUCCCAAGGCAUGCCUGAUAGAAGGUUUCAGGCCCUGACGGAACUGGCUCGCCUUCUCCAUCUCAUUAAAAGCCACAUGAGGGACAAAGCAGACCAUCUUGUUGAAGCCCACUUCAUACUAUGUGACAGACUCCUUCUCUUGCUUGAAAGACUGCAAAUCAAUCUUCAUUUUCUCCAGGAAGGUGACCGGGUAGAACCUCCUUUCAAACUGCCUGAUGAAGACAUCCCAAGUCAGGACUCCUGGUGAUGAGGAGUGCGCUGCCUGCAUGCCUCUCCACCAAAUUUGAGCCUCUCCCUUCAGUAGCUGUGUCCCAAAGCGAACACGAUCACCAUACACAAUCUCAAAGACAUUCAUCUUAACCUCCACGUAAGUUAGCCAAUCUGCCGCCUCGACCGGAGUACCACUGCCAUCAAAAGCAUCCAGCUUCAUGCCCAUCCACUGCAUCAGAGAAAGACCACUGACUGGAAGAGGCACCUCAGCCUCGCCACCUGGAGCAGCACCCGCAGGGACAGCGCCCCCGGGCACUCCUCCUCCACCAGCACCCUGAGCAGCACCUGCAGGGGCAACAGGAAUAGCUUGCCUCAGAAUGGCCAACUCCUACUGCAUGGCCUGCAUCGCGGCUAACAUUGUCGCCGGACUCAUCGAGUCCCCACUAGGAACUUGCGGACUACACCGAGCCCUACGAGGCGGCAUAGCUGCUGCCACAGGGGUGAGAAUAAUAAGUAAAUAAGAUUGUCAUAGCAUCACUUCAGAUAAUGUCAAACUAGCACAGACAAUAACAUAACAUAUCAAUAAUAAAGCAGAAAACCCAUCCUACAUGUGCAGUGUGUCAAUUUAUUGUUAUUCAACUUGCUAGGACCUACAGCCUAUUCCUUUGAUACCAACUGUAACACCCCCACUGUUCCCACACAAUAGAUGUUACCAGAUACCCUUCCCACUAAACUUAUGCAACACAAGAAAUGAAAUAAAGAGAGAAAAUAUUGCAAAAUCCGGCAGCACCUCCCUUGAAAGAAGCAUAACAAGGGGGAACAUAGAGUUCAUACAGGAUAUAACAGACAUAUAAUUCACGUAGUAUAAUCAAAAUGCAAAAGUAGUAAAGAACAUUUAUGACCAAUUAAAAAAAGGGUAACUCAGCCCGCCCUAAAAAAAUCAGCUCAACUACCAUGAAAGGCUAGAACAUAAUAAUUCCCUAGACUUGACCCUCCCUGAUUAACAACAUUAUUAAGCAGUGGUUCCUUUAUUAAAGGUGUUGUGGUCGUGCUGCUACAUCCCUUCUUUCCCAAAGCAGAAAUCAGGUGCCUGCAUCAGACAAUGCAAGAGUGAGAUGACACAUCUCAGCAAGUAAACAGAGCAAACAACAAUUGGACAAUGUAAACCAAUCUUGCUUAAACAACCACGUAGUUCAAAACUUCCUUCUUGAAUAAUAAUUUGCAGCAAGUAAGCAAGUAACUGAUUACUUAAUGCCAAGAUGAAUCACAAUGUAAAGAUCCACACUAUCCACAUCCACAUAACAGAUUCCACACCUCUCCCAUGAAUGCACAUGGCUACAGAUGCAGUAAUGACUUCUGCCUUCAUAUCUCUAAGGAUAUGAAGCUACAUCAUACCCCUUCUCGGGCAACAUAUGAUGCUCAUUGUACCGGUACGGUCGGACCAUAAGAUCGCGACGAAACUUCAAUGCAAUGGAUGAUGAAUGCAUUAUGCAAGUCAACAACAUGAGUUCUUCCCAAACAAAAUGUGCUAGACAUAUACUUCCACCCAUUCCACAUAAUAAACCACAUGGGUAACAUGAUCAAACCACAAACUCAACAUAUGUAAUCAAUAAAACAUGAAUAUCUUCCAAUGAUGGUACUCAAUUAGAAAUAUGAAUACGAACACAAAUAGCACAAACAUAAUCAAGUAUAAGACUCUUCAUUCGACAGACGGAAUAACCAUCACUGUUUUACUUGCCUUCACCAGAAGUUUGGGCAAAUCCCUAAGUACGAUCCGGAAGUCCACCACCUGUUUUUGACACACAACUUAGUGCACCAAUUUCACAUAAUAAGCCUCAUAAACGACGCCGCACCUACGCACAAUCUCAAACCCCGCCACGGGUAACAAUUCUCCCCGCACCCACCAAACUGCAGCAGCGCUGCUUAAUAAUUUCAUAACUUUAAAAUUAUUACAGCAGUGGUGACAAUCAAAAACUCCAGAGGCAUAUACAUCAAAUUCCCCACAAGUUUUGUAUACAAUUUAUAAUAAAAUUCCAACAUCUAAUUAGCCCAAAACAGUCAUCAAGAUAAACUCUGUAAUCUGUUUUUUCUCUUUUGGACAGCGACAUACCCGGAUUCAAACAGCGAUAUCUUUUAAGAUAUAAUUCCAAAUCAAGCGCAUAAGUACUCAUUGAAAAGAUAAGACAAAACCCUACAUGAUUAUCAUACUGGUUAUCACUAGUUACCCACAAAAAAUUCCCAGAAACUGGUAAUACUACUGAUGUUCACCCACCUGAAAAAUCUGUUUUUUUGGACAGCAACAUAUCCAGAUUCAAACAAUGAUAUCUCCUAAAUUAUAACUCUGAAUCGAGCCCAUAAGUACUCGUUGGAAAGCUAUGACAAAGAUCUACAUGAUUAUCCCACUGAUUCCCACUAAUUAACCCACGAAAAUUCCCAAAAAUCCCUAGAACUACUGCUGUCCACCCACUCACAAAAUUCCUAGACCGCACCUCUACUGAUUCGCAAAGAUAAACGCAUAAUCCAAUCGAUUGCAGCACAAAAACAACAAAAGUUAAACAUGAAUUCACCUUGGGUUCUUCCCUUCCUCCUUCCUUAUUCCUCCCUCCAAACUCCAAUUGAGAUCGCAGCCACACGAUGGAGAACACGCGGGAGGGCUGCACCUUGGAGGGGGGAAAGACAAAUGGGGGGGCAGCUAGGGUUUUGGGUGGUGAGGGCUGCAAAGGUUUGAGGAGAAAGAAGAUGGAAGAGGGGGGGAG
rnacentral:lncRNA from 1 species